CAAGUUAGAGCUUUUCUAAGCGUUUUAUUUACAUUAAGAAGUGAGGCUGAUAAUUCAGCUUGAUUUGA
rnacentral:tRNA from 1 species